UACAGAGGGUGCGAGCGUUAAUCGGAAUUAUUGGGCGUAAAGCGCCGGUAGGUGGUUUGUUAAGUUUGAUGUGAAAGCCCUGGGCUUAACCUGGGAAUGGCGUUGAAGACUGGCGGACUGGAGUCGGACAGAGGGUCGUGGAAUUUCCGGUGUAGCGGUGAAAUGCGUAGAGAUCGGAAAGAAUAUCGAUGGCGAAGGCAGCGGCCUGGGUCCAGACUGACACUGAGGGGCGAGAGCGUGGGGAGCAAACAGG
rnacentral:rRNA from 1 species